UGAAAAGCGUCAAAAUGGAGGUUUUGGUGAUAGUGGAGAAUGCGGGGGGGUGAAAAUAGCGAUUUUUGUUCAAUUCCUGGCAAUGGCGAUUUUUGGUGGGUCCCAAAACCACCGUUUUUUGCCCCAAAAUUGUUUACUGACACAAAGUCGUUUUUCCUCCGAAAAACGCCAUUUUGGGGCUCUAAAAUUGCACUUUUUUAAAUGAAAUGAGAAUUUUUGUGUACAGAUUGAGGCGAUUUGGGGACAAAGUGAGAAAGAAAACCCGAAUUUUGGUGCUAAAACGGUGAAAAAAAGCACUGCUAAAAAUCACCAUUUUCGGUCAGGACGGAUUGAGGGAUUACGGGUUGAAAAAGAGGAUUUUUGGGCAAAUUUCUGCCUCAAAACACACGUUUUUGGUUGGAAAAUUCUCUUUUUGAUGUUUUCCCCUUCAGCCUUUCUUUCGAUUCAAAACUUUGCAUUCUCUUCACAGAAAUUAUGAUUUUUGCAGGUUUUCUUUUCCCAAAAAUGGAUUUUCUGACACAAAAUCGUUUUUCCUUGGAAAAACGCCAUUUUGGGGCUCUAAAAUUGCACUUUUUUAAAUGAAAUGAGAAUUUUUGUGUACAGAUUGAGGCGAUUUGGGGACAAAGUGAGAAAGAAAACCCGAAUUUUGGUGCUAAAACGGUGAAAAAAAGCACUGCUAAAAAUCACCAUUUUCGGUCAGGACGGAUUGAGGGAUUACGGGUUGAAAAAGAGGAUUUUUGGGCAAAUUUCUGCCUCAAAACACACGUUUUUGGUUGGAAAAUUCUCUUUUUGAUGUUUUCCCCUUCAGCCUUUCUUUCGAUUCAAAACUUUGCAUUCUCUUCACAGAAAUUAUGAUUUUUGCAGGUUUUCUUUGCCCCAAAAAUGGAUUUCCUAAUACAAAUUCAUUUUUCCUCUGAAAAACGCCAUUUUGGGGCCAUAAAAUGGCAUUUUUUGUUAUAAAACAGUAUUUUUGUGUUCAGGUUGAGAUCAAGGAGAUGAUUUUGGGGCCAAAGUCAGAAACAAACCCCAAAUUUUGGUGCUAAAACAGAGAAAAAGACCACUGCUAAAAACCACCAUUUUCGGUCAGAGCGGAUCGAGGGAUUUGGGGGCAGAAAAGGGGAUUUUUGGGCAAAUUUCUGCCUUAAAAUGCAUGUUUUUGGACUGAAAAUUCUAUUUUUGAUGUUUCCAUCUUCAGUGCUUUUUUCGAUUCAAA
rnacentral:lncRNA from 1 species